UAAUACGGAGGAUGCGAGCGUUAUCCGGAUUUAUUGGGUUUAAAGGGUGCGUAGGCGGAUUGAUAAGUCAGUGGUGAAAUUCUACAGCUUAACUGUAGACUUGCCGUUGAUACUGUUAGUCUUGAGUGUGGUCAAGGCAGGCGGAAUGUGUAAUGUAGCGGUGAAAUGCUUAGAUAUUACACAGAACACCGAUUGCGAAGGCAGCUUGCUGGGUCAUUACUGACGCUGAUGCACGAAAGCGUGGGGAUCAAACAGGAUUAGAUACCCUGGUAGUCCACGCCGUAAACUAUGAUCACUCGCUGUUGGCGAUACACAGUCAGCGGCUAAGCAAAAGCAUUAAGUGAUCCACCUGGGGAGUACGGCCGCAAGGCUGAAACUCAAAGGAAUUGACGGGGGCCCGCACAAGCGGAGGAACAUGUGGUUUAAUUCGAUGAUACGCGAGGAACCUUACCUGGGCUUAAAUGUGGAGUGCAUUGGUGAGAAAUCAUCAUUUUCUUCGGAACUCUCUGCAAGGUGCUGCAUGGUUGUCGUCAGCUCGUGCCGUGAGGUGUCGGGUUAAGUCCCAUAACGAGCGCAACCCUUAUCGUUAGUUGCCAGCGGGUCAAGCCGGGGACUCUAGCGAAACUGCCGGUGUAAACCGAGAGGAAGGUGGGGAUGACGUCAAAUCAGCACGGCCCUUAUGUCCAGGGCUACACACGUGUUACAAUGGCCGGUACAGAGGGCAGCUACCUGGAGACAGGAUGCGAAUCUCGAAAGCCGGUCUCAGUUCGGAUCGGAGUCUGCAACUCGACUCCGUGAAGCUGGAUUCGCUAGUAAUCGCGCAUCAGCCACGGCGCGGUGAAUACGUUCCCGGGCCUUGUACACACCGCUCGUCAAGCCAUGGAAGUUGGGGGUGCCUGAAGUCCGUAACCGCGAGGAGCGGCCUAGGGUAAAACCAGUGACUGGGGCU
rnacentral:rRNA from 1 species